CGUACACUCCUGCGGGAGGCAGCAGUGGGGAAUAUUGCACAAUGGGCGCAAGCCUGAUGCAGCCAUGCCGCGUGUAUGAAGAAGGCCUUCGGGUUGUAAAGUACUUUCAGCGGGGAGGAAGGCGAUAAGGUUAAUAACCUUGUCGAUUGACGUUACCCGCAGAAGAAGCACCGGCUAACUCCGUGCCAGCAGCCGCGGUAAUACGGAGGGUGCAAGCGUUAAUCGGAAUUACUGGGCGUAAAGCGCACGCAGGCGGUCUGUCAAGUCGGAUGUGAAAUCCCCGGGCUCAACCUGGGAACUGCAUUCGAAACUGGCAGGCUAGAGUCUUGUAGAGGGGGGUAGAAUUCCAGGUGUAGCGGUGAAAUGCGUAGAGAUCUGGAGGAAUACCGGUGGCGAAGGCGGCCCCCUGGACAAAGACUGACGCUCAGGUGCGAAAGCGUGGGGAGCAAACAGGAUUAGAAACCCGUGUAGUCCCAUG
rnacentral:rRNA from 1 species